rnacentral:rRNA from 1 species
GAUGAACGCUGGCGGCGUGCCUAAUACAUGCAAGUCGAGCGAAUGGAUUAAGAGCUUGCUCUUAUGAAGUUAGCGGCGGACGGGUGAGUAACACGUGGGUAACCUGUCCAUAAGACUGGGAUAACUCCGGGAAACCGGGGCUAAUACCGGAUAACAUUUUGAACCGCAUGGUUCGAAAUUGAAAGGCGGCUUCGGCUGUCACUUAUGGAUGGACCCGCGUCGAUUUAGCUAGUUGGUGAGGUAACGGCUCACCAAGGCAACGAUGCGUAGCCGACCUGAGAGGGUGCUCGGCCACACUGGGACUGAGACCAGGCCCAGACUCCUCCGGGGGGUAGCAGUAGGGAAUCUUCCGCAAUGGACGAAAGUCUGACGGAGCAACGGCGCGUGAGUGAUGAAGGCUUUCGGGUCGUAAAACUCUGUUGUUAGGGAAGAACAAGUGCUAGUUGAAUAAGCUGGCACCUUGACGGUACCUAACCAGAAAGCCACGGCUAACUACGUGCCAGCAGCCGCAGUAA